UUGGCCCCAUUCUCUGGCAGGCUCUCCCCUGUAAUAGUCUCUGAUAGCUCCGGGCUUCCCUCCAAUCAACAUAGCAGCUGGAAGGGAAGGUCUCUUUCCCCAUAGUUACAGCAAUGUCUUAGGAUAAAGUCUCAUUGGCUGACCUGGGUCGUGUGUCCACUGCUGCACCAAUCUGUAUGGCCAGGGUGGUGGAAUACUCUGAUGGCCAAGCCUGGGGCAUUGCAUAGAGUUCACUUCAUCUCCUGGAGUGGAUCCUUGGUAGCGCUGAACCCACUCUGCCAGGCCUGUUCCGGGACAGGGGAUACAGCAAUGAAGAGCACAGACAAGAUGGCAGAAUUGGAGCUGGGGGUCUAAGGGUCCCGGUUCUGCUACUCACCACUCAUGUGACCGGACAAGUUUCACAACCUCCCUCAGCUUCGGUUUCCCCUUCAGUAGAAUACGAAUGGUUUUUUUGAGACCCACCAUGCACCAGGCCCUGAAGUGUUGGAGAUAAAUACGAUCCCACUUCCAACACUGUAAAAGACUCUGUGGGGACCACCUGCCAGGUUCUGAGAUCUCACAGUCUCAUUCAGGCUGUCAAGUAAGUGACUCGGAUGCCAGGGGUACCCGGCCCUGGUGUCCCAUAGUGCCACAGCCUGGGGUGCUGUCCUGCCUAACUGUUUUCUCCUUGGCCCACAGUCCCUGCUCUGAUAACCACAGGAAGCCAUGGGAAAGAGCGGGGAAAGCCAGGUGUUCCCAAGAAGCAGGUCACAGGAGGGAACAAGCUGUUGCUGUGGCACGCGGCCGGCCACCCCCGGUGCCGAGGGACCUGGGAGAGGCUGGGGCAGCUCCGGGAUUGUUCCUGCCCCACCGUCCACAGCCUCGUCUUCAUCUAGCAUCUGCGCCCCCAGCUGUCCUGAGCCCUCUUCCCAAAGCCUCCGGAGAUGGCAGGGAAACCCGCAGGACGAGCGAGCGGGGAGAAAGUCUGCAAUUUUGACACUGAAGGAGAAAGCCUUGUCGUCAUGUUGACACUGAAAAUAGCUUUAGGUUUCCGCUAAGUGCCAGCCGAGUCACAGCCCUACUAACAUGUCCUUCCAGGGCAGGACUUCCCAGAUUUCAUCUAAACACACUCUCUGGCCUUUGACCUGUUCUCCUUAUUGUACACUUAAUUUUUUAAAUUGACUCU